GUUUACGUGGUCGAGUAAGGCACGAGCCGAAAUCACUUCUUCUCGUACAGUCGCGGUGAGCGCGAGAUUAAGCCGAGCGAACCGUCUAAGAGUUAGAGUUUUCCGAGCAAAUCGAUAUACAGUGACUCCCAGUAAUAUUCGGACACCAGUGUAUGGUUAGCUUUAUGGCUUAAUAUCGUAGUUAUUAAAAAAGCAAUCGUCUUUGUUACUUUUUCCAAUAAUAAGUCAUUUAUUAACAUUAUUAAAGAUAUAUACAUUAAUCCAAAAAUUUACAUAAAUUACAUAAUAACAAUAAACAAACGAAAGAAUACUGCAUUUUCGGGUCACAAAAAUAUUCGGACACUAUGAGGAAUAACAUUUAUUAAUUAAAAUUAAACAUUAUAUGUUCCACAUUAAUAUUUUGUUGCGAAUCCCUUUUCUUUUAUAAUAUGUCUCAAUCGAUUCGGCAUAUUAGAAAUUAUUUUUUUUAAAUAUUCUGUCGAAAUGGAUGCCCAUUCUUCUUGAAGCCUAAUUUUAAGUUCUUCUUUGGAACGAAUGGGUGCCUUGCGAAUCCGUUGGUUCAACUUAUCCCAUAAGUUUUCUAUAGGGUUAAAGUCUGGUGAUUGUGGAGGUGAAUGAGGAACUUUGGGGCAAUUAUACAAUAAAAAUUCCGAGACAAUGCGCGACUUAUGUUUAGAAUCAUUAUCCUGGUAAAAUUUAAAAUCUUCAGCAAUCCCCAUCUUUUCUGCACUCUGUUUUAAAUUGCUUUUUAAAAGAUUCAAAUAAGCAUUCUUAACCAUGAUGCCAUCAAUAAAAACUAAAUUGCCAACGCCGGAAGUCGAGAUGCAUCCCCACACCAUUACAAUGCCUCCUCCGUGUUUUAUCGUACCCGAAAAUGUGAUAUCCUUUCGUUUGUUUAUUGCUAUUAUGUAAUUUAUGUAAAUUUUUGGAUUCAUGUAUACAUCUUUAAUAACAUUAAUAAACGACUUAUUAUUGGAAAAAGUAACAAAGACAAUUGCUUUUUUAAUAACUACGAUAUUAAGUAAUAAAGCUAACCAUACACUAGUGUCCGAAUAUUUCUGGGAGUCACUGUAUAUAUUGUAAGAAGGAAGGGAGCCUAGGCGAGUUCAAAGAGUGGCUACAAUUCGAGCCAUUCGAAUUACAUUUAGAAAAAUAAAAAAAAAUUAUUGAACACGACGACUGCCCCGGAAAAUUACGUAUUUCGCCGUGAAAGCAACCUGCGGACGAUGGCCAGAUUAAAAUCGGAUUUAACUCGACGAGACUUCGCGGAUCAGUUGAUCACCACUGACGCGAAUUUGUCUACAUGGGCGAUUGUGGUCACUCGAUGCAGGAACGACAAGGCCCCUGCUACCCGUUGAUCCAGUUCCCAGUCCGGUUUCGACGUUGAACUUCGCCCCCGAAAUGGGGCCAACCCUGUCAACACAGAGGCGCGCGCACAGAAUGACAAAUGUUGUGGCGACCGCUAAUGUUGCUGCACAACAAAUUAUAUCCGAGGGGUCCUGCGGAGGAUUUCCAAAGACCGAGUCGAGGGCAGUUGCACGAGGCAGUUGGGACGAAGACCCAGCGACUUUAAUUUUAUGACUGCUUGGCGAAUUAUGUGUGUUUGGGGUACGGUUGAUUUUUCCACUGGUCUUGUUCAUCAUUGACAGAGUACUUGUUUAAAUUAGAGCAGAAUUAUUCAGCAGGAUAAAGCUCGAUCAAGUUAGUAUUUAUUUUACGGUUCAAAGAAUAUAUUUGUUUUAAUUUUAUGUAUAGAGGAAGAAGAUGGAAGAAUUGAGAGAAUUAGAAUUGAUAAAAAUAAUAUUAAUACCCCUCCAAGUUCAGAUACUGUGAUAUUGUAGAGGAAUUAAUUCUGUCCCUUUAGGCGAAUACAUUUGUAAUUCUAGUUUAAGUAAAUGCAUUAUAUCUCGAUCAUUUUCUUUUUAUUACUACGUGUGCCUUGAUGAAAUGUGUGACUGAGAGUAGAUUAAAAAUAGCAUGCUUCUAUUUUAUAAAUAAAUGCUGGAAUAUUCUGUA